rnacentral:rRNA from 1 species
ACUCCUACGGGAGGCAGCAGUGGGGAAUAUUGGACAAUGGGCGCAAGCCUGAUCCAGCCAUGCCGCGUGAGUGAUGAAGGCCUUAGGGUUGUAAAGCUCUUUUGUCCGGGAAGAUAAUGACUGUACCGGAAGAAUAAGCCCCGGCUAACUUCGUGCCAGCAGCCGCGGUAAUACGAAGGGGGCUAGCGUUGCUCGGAAUCACUGGGGCGUAAAGGGGCGCGUAGGCGGACUCUUAAGUCGGGGGUGAAAGCCCAGGGCUCAACCCUGGAAUUGCCUUCGAUACUGGGGAGUCUUGAGUUCGGAAGAGGUUGGUGGAACUGCGAGUGUAGAGGUGAAAUUCGUAGAUAUUCGCAAGAACACCGGUGGCGAAGGCGGCCAACUGGUCCGAAACUGACGCUGAGGCGCGAAAGCGUGGGGAGCAAACAGGAUUAGAUACCCUGGUAGGAUAGCC